UACGUAGGGGGCAAGCGUUGUCCGGAUUUAUUGGGCGUAAAGGGCGCGUAGGCGGUGCGGUAAGUCACCUGUGAAAUCUCCUGGCUCAACUGGGAGUCUGCAGGCGAAACUGCCGUGCUGGAGUGUGGGAGAGGUGAGUGGAAUUCCCGGUGUAGCGGUGAAAUGCGUAGAUAUUCGGAAGAACACCAGUGGCGAAGGCGACUUACUGGACACGUAUUGACGCUGAGGUGCGAAAGCGUGGGGAGCAAACAGG
rnacentral:rRNA from 1 species